GAGCCAUACCCCUGCGUGGGCUUCUGGCUCCAGGGGGUGGGGGCGGUGGGGGGAACGUGCAGCUGGGGCUGCGGCUCUCGCU
rnacentral:miRNA from 1 species